UUUUUAUCUUUGUCCAAUGUAGGACAUUUUCCUUUAAAGAACAACGUAUGUACAAACAAGAAAUUUUCAUUCUCUCUGGUGAUUUGGGUUGGUGACCAUGACUGCUGCCGAUCACUGUGCCCAGGGUAACCCUCUGUGGCCAGUCGGGACAGAAUGCACAAUCAGCUGAAGCUUCAGCUUCUGGGACAUUCAUUAUAUGGCUAAUUCUCUAGUCCAAGAAUCAUGCAAGUAUUCAUGACUAGUUACUUCAUUUUAUGCUGUGUACUGUCUGUGACAUCAACACAAUGCUACACAACAGACAGGCCUGAAUGUCAACCAGAACACUGCUCUGAUUGAACAUAAACACCAUUCAUUGGCUGUAUUAUGACACAGAUCAUAAAAAUAUUCAGACACUUUACUCCAAAAGAUUUCAGUGAGCAUUAGGUAUUUGAAUGUCUUUAAUAACGUGGACCUCUGAGUUCAGUUGACCACCAGUGAUGGAUCAAAAACUGCUCAUGGAUCAAAACAGAAGAAUGUGGAAGGGUAUUUGGUCUUAUUCUAGCCUCAGCAUUUCUCACUUUUCUGUUUACCAUUUUUCCUUCACUACUGUAGUCAGAACCUUGUUGAAGAUAUCAGCUGCAAAAGCUGAUGAAGUUACAGACACACAGUUCUAUCUGCAGAGUAGGCACAGCUGAAAGACAAGAAUGAUUUUAUCUUAUGCUUUCUGUGAUAACUAUUGUAUAAGACCAAACUAAGUUUUGUCAGCCCAGGAGCCUGGCUCGGACAGUGACCACAUGCCUAGAGAAAGGUGUAAGAACAGGGUGAAGGUAUCAUCACAUUAUUUCAACAUACUCUCCUAGCUUUCUGCAAUUUUGUUGAACGAAAAGUGUUUUUUGUUUAUUUUUUUUGCCUUUUUGCUUCUAGUCUUUGACAAGAUCUUCUGUGACACCUUUAACUGCUUUCUGAGUGUUGAAUUAGCAUUGUGCCCUGUGGCAAGAAGGGUCAAACUUCAUUUCAAUAUAGGAUACCGACUCCUUCCAAAAAACGCAAGCUUAAAUGAUGCUUCUACUUUCCCCAGGGUGACAAUCCUCUCCACUCAAACAUUAUUUUUCAUAACUAAGAUGUAAAUAGGAGCACUUAAUAAUUAAUUAUACAUCACAAAUAUUUCAGUUUGGGCACCUGACAUUAAGAGUUAAGUCCAUCUUCCCAGAUGCGUUCAGACUAUCACAAGCAAUACUAGCCCAGAAGCCAUGUAGCUGUAUCUGCUCAGUAUCACAGCUAAAAAGUUUUUCUUCUUUUGCUUCCUUUGCUCCCCAUAAAAUUUCAGCUGGGACCCCCAAAAAAAACCUUUCUGGAUAAUAGAAGCUGAUACACUGCCAUGAAAUAUUUCCAUUUCAGUGAGUUAGCACUGCUGGCAAAAAGCAAACCCAAACCUAUUUAGUGAGGAAUUUCAAAGUAGCUCUAAUGAAUGACUUAACUAGACUCCCCAGGCCUUGCUCACGGUUCAAUAUAUGUGCUGAUCGCUGCCUGAUGGCAUUUGGCUUAGUUUUGUAUCCCUGAAAAAUAAACAGAAGAUUUGCCAGUGGCUUCAGUGAGAACAGACUGAGGCUAUAAAGAAAUCAAGACAAUUUCCUCCUGGAAAUCAGUAGCUUUCUCUUAAUAGAGGAAUCCAGGGGAAGAAAAAAUAGCGCGACGUGUAGAAAUAUUUUGUUAUCUCAAAACAUCCAGCCUUUUGAAAUGGAGGAGGUAGUAAUUAAAAUGCAAAGAUUGAAAAAAAUUAAAAGUCUCUGAGUGUACAAAGCACCAGCUCUGGAUGUGGCAGCUGCAGGCAAGGAGAGGGAGGCAGGAAAAUGGAAACAAGCACUCAGCUGUACAGGUGAUCUUGGAGGUGGGUGAGAGGGGGCCAUGCUGCACUCAGCCUGGUGUCCAGCAGGACCAGUGUCCAGCAGCAGCUCGGUUCACAUACAUUGGCUGACAUUUUCUAGGGAGAGCCUGAUGAGAAAAUGAGAAAAAAGUGACUUUUUCUAAUGUCUCUUGUGUUUGUUUCCAAUGAAAUAAGGAAACAAGAAACAUGCAGUUGCUGCAUGUCUGAUGUAUCAAAUCCAGGGCUGAUGGUACAACAUUUCACAACUUUUUUCUAGCUCCAUUUUACACUAAAAAUAUAUUGUGCCAUUUCCUGAAACGUUUCAUGACUGUUUCCAGUGCACUAGAAAGUGAACAAUUUUCUUUAUCCUAACACACAAAAGUCUCGGUUCCUCAUUAACUUUCUACAGGACUUGAUCUGCUCUAGUCCUGCAGAAGAGAUUUCACUUUGCUAGGAGGUUCUUGUUUCCUGUUAUUUCAUAGCUCUACACGGAAAUAGCUGGUGGCUUCAAAGAAAAAGAAAGAAAGUAAAAAUGUCAAGGGAACAACACAAGUAUCUCUAUUAUUUUUCUACACUAAGUUAUCUCUAGAUUGCUGUGCAAUUGCCUCAUAUUUAAAGAAACAUUAGGAGAGAUCAAGCAGUUCACACAGAGUCCAACAUCUUGUAUUAGAAUAAAUCUGAUUCGUAUCUAGAGUCCAUUAUAGCUAUAUUGUGAUCACACACGUGCACAGGCAUUCAUAUAAUUCUUGCAUCAAUGCUGUUCCUUCACUACUCUGCGCAAUGGGAACCACCCAAACACCUCCAGAGCAGAACAGCAAGGUGACCUUGCUCCUGUAUCACAGAGCACCAGAUAGGGCCUGCUGGCCUCACCACGAGGUGGACCUGUGCAGAGGCUAACCCUGAGCAGCCUCCUUCCCCUCCCAAGUUCAACACCAUGUUCCCCAUGUCAGUUCUUUGAGCAGUUGUGAGAAGGGUUCAGGCCCCUCAGGUCCUCUGGUUCACCCUAUGGGGAAAAAAAAAAAAAAAAAAAAAGCUAGCAGCUGUUUUCACCCAUUCCUUGUCAUCUCCUCAGUCCUCUUUCCCCUUCCUGAAGGUGCACACUUAUUCAUAUCCCCUCACCCAGUUACAAUGUGGUCUCAGCUCACCUUUAAGCCUUCUCAUCUUCACCCAGGGACAUUAUGCCAUCAGACUGCCACAGGUCCUAUUUCUGAGUCCCAGGCAACAGAAACAUGCAGAGGUGGGCUCCUUGUGCCACUACCAAUCUAUUUGCUCUCCACUCACCCAACCACCUGCUUGUAGUUACUGAUCUUCCCUUCAGCAUCCAAACCCCAGCAGGUGAAGCAGCUGGGACUAAAUGAGCACUCGAGUAGUUUUAUUUUGGAACUUUUGUAAGCCAGCUUGGCCAUAAUUUGUGGAAAGAAAUCACUCACAAUUGACAUAACAGUAGGUGUGCUGUAGUUGUUUCCCAAGCCAAUUACCGGCUGUAAGCAGCUGUAUGAAGCAAGGGAGGUGACACUGAAAGAGCUGGGCGGCUUCUCCCCCUUGUGUGAGUUAUACAUCUAGACAAUUAGCCAGAGAGUGUCACAUAUCUUUAAUCUGCACACAACUGUGUUUUACCUAAUAACUUUCUGAGGCAAGUAAAUAGGCCAAUUACAUUAAAGCACCAUAAACAAUCUUACCAUUACUGUGACUUUUCACAUUUUUUUCAGGCCCUCAUCAAAUAUUUAUAAAACAUAUUCCAGUGAUAAAAAAAAAAUAAAAAAUAAAAAAAUAAAACACCAUCCAAAAUGCAACCAGACAUGCUGUUUCCAAAAACUGCUUUGCCACUUUCUUGCAGCCCCUUGAAAAUGGUGAGAACAGAGGAUGCUCAUGGACACCCAGCAAGAAGCUGCAAAGCCCUGACACAGGGCAGGCUUGGACGAGCCAUGGCCUGAGCAAGGGGCUUGCAGACAAAUCACAGCAGAAUCUGACCCAAACACUUUAAACUUCAUGGCUGUAUUUCAUCCUGUUUAGCUCCAUUAUUCUAAUCUUUUAUGACAGGACUUUGUCAUUUAUUAAAGAUAACUUUUUACCGUCCACAGGCAAAGGUAGCAGGAUAAUCGUUUGAUUUUGUCUCUAGCCAACGAGCAGCUGCUACCUAGGAAGUUGAAAUGAUAAAGUUGUAAUCAAAGUCUCAUUGUAUAUUACAAGAAGAGUUAUAUAUCAAAGCAAGCUUCUGUGAUUUCCAGUUUGAGUGAUUUACAUGAUUUUAUAUCUUUCUUGAUCAUAAAAGGAACCUUAAAAGCCUAAACCUUAUCAAGCUGUUUGCUUUCUUGACAUCCUACUGCACUGUGUUGUGUAAAUAAAAACAUAAAACCUUGGUAAAAGACCAUAGAUGCCAUCCUGCAAAACCACAUGGAAUAUGUGGAGCAAAAUCCCGGGAACAAUGAGAAAUUAUAAUAUUUAUCAGAGUGGAACUGUUUUUUGACUGAACACAUGGAGAGGCGUAUAAAACUGAAGAUUUUUUUUGCCAUUUAAAUAUUAAAUGUCAUUUAUAAUAACAAGUGGGAAAAAAAAA